GGCGUUAGUUUUGGGCGGGUUUUAGUGUAUUUCGAUUAGAGUAUCAAUUGAAACCGUCCAAAACUGAGGCC
rnacentral:pre_miRNA from 1 species